rnacentral:rRNA from 1 species
AGCUCACUAGUCGAGUCGGCCUGCGCGGAAGAUGUAACGGGGCUAAAACUAUGUGCCGAAGCUGCGGAUGUAUACUUUGUAUACGUGGUAGGGGAGCGUUCUGUAAGCCGAUGAAGGUGUGUUGAGAAGCAUGCUGGAGGUAUCAGAAGUGCGAAUGCUGACGUGAGUAACGACAAAACGGGUGAAAAACCCGUUCGCCGNAAAACCGCCGAAAGACCAAGGGUUCCAGUCCAACGUUAAUCGGGGCUGGGUGAGUCGACCCCUAAGGCGAGGCCGAAAGGCGUAGUCGAUGGGAAAAUGGUUAAUAUUCCAUUACUUCUGUGUAAUGCGAUGAGAGGACGGAGAAGGCUAAAUCAGCCUGGCGUUGGUUGUCCAGGUGAAAGGAUGUAGGCAUGUAUCUUAGGCAAAUCCGGGGUACUCUAUGCUGAGAUCUGAUAGCAAGCUGUACUUGUACAGCGAAGUGGUUGAUGCCAUGCUUCCAGGAAAAGUCUCUAAGCUUCAGUUACACAGGAAUCGUACCCGAAACCGACACAGGUGGUCAGGUCGAGUAGACCAAGGCGCUUGAGAGAACUCUGCUGAAGGAACUAGGCAAAAUGGUACCGUAACUUCGGGAGAAGGUACGCUGUUGUUGGUGAUGGAACUCGCUUCCUGAGCUGACGACAGCCGCAGAAACCAGGCCGCUGCAACUGUUUAUUAAAAACAUAGCACUCUGCAAACACGAAAGUGGACGUAUAGGGUGUGAUGCCUGCCCGGUGCUGGAAGGUUAAUUGAUGGGGUUAGCGUAAGCGAAGCUCUUGAUCGAAGCCCCAGUAAACGGCGGCCGUAACUAUAACGGUCCUAAGGUAGCGAAAUUCCUUGUCGGGUAAGUUCCGACCUGCACGAAUGGCAUAAUGAUGGCGGCGCUGUCUCCAGCAGAGGCUCAGUGAAAUCGAAAUCGCUGUGAAGAUGCAGUGUACCCGCGGCUAGACGGAAAGACCCCGUGAACCUUUACUGCAGCUUGACACUGAACUUUGACCUUACUUGUGUAGGAUAGGUGGGAGGCUUUGAAGCUGGAACGCUAGUUCCAGUGGAGCCGUCCUUGAAAUACCACCCUGGUAAUGUUGAGGUUCUAACUCUGUCCCGUGAUCCGGGACGAGGACCGUGUCUGGUGGGUAGUUUGACUGGGGCGGUCUCCUCCUAAAGAGUAACGGAGGAGUACGAAGGUGCGCUCAGCGUGGUCGGAAAUCACGCGUAGAGUAUAAAGGCAAAAGCGCGCUUAACUGCGAGACCCACAAGUCGAGCAGGUACGAAAGUAGGUCUUAGUGAUCCGGUGGUUCUGUAUGGAAGGGCCAUCGCUCAACGGAUAAAAGGUACUCUGGGGAUAACAGGCUGAUACCGCCCAAGAGUUCAUAUCGACGGCGGUGUUUGGCACCUCGAUGUCGGCUCAUCUCAUCCUGGGGCUGAAGCAGGUCCCAAGGGUAUGGCUGUUCGCCAUUUAAAGAGGUACGCGAGCUGGGUUUAGAACGUCGUGAGACAGUUCGGUCCCUAUCUACCGUGGGCGCUGGAAAUUUGAGAGGAUCUGCUCCUAGUACGAGAGGACCAGAGUGGACGAACCUCUGGUGUACCGGUUGUGACGCCAGUCGCAUCGCCGGGUAGCUAUGUUCGGAAGGGAUAACCGCUGAAAGCAUCUAAGCGGGAAGCCUACCUCAAGAUAAGAUUUCCCUAGGACUUUAUGUCCUCUAAAGAGCCGUUCGAGACUAGGACGUUGAUAGGUUGGAUGUGGAAGCAUAGUGAUAUGUGAAGCUGACCAAUACUAAUUGCUCGUGAGGCUUGACUAUACAACACCCAAGCAGUUG